rnacentral:rRNA from 1 species
AGUCGAGAAUCUUCGGCAAUGGGCGAAAGCCUGACCGAGCGACGCCGCGUGCGGGAUGAAGGCCCUCGGGUUGUAAACCGCUGUCGUAGGGGAGGAAGGCUCCGUGAAGAACGGGGUUUGACCUAUCCUAGGAGGAAGUACGGGCUAAGUUCGUGCCAGCAGCCGCGGUAAUACGAACCGUACAAACGUUAUUCGGAAUCACUGGGCUUAAAGGGUGCGUAGGCGGCCAUGUAAGUGAGGUGUGAAAUCCCUCGGCUCAACCGAGGAACUGCGCUUCAUACUGCAUGGCUUGAGGGAGACAGGGGUAAGCGGAACUGAUGGUGGAGCGGUGAAAUGCGUUGAUAUCAUCAGGAACACCGGUGGCGAAAGCGGCUUACUGGGUCUCUUCUGACGCUGAGGUACGAAAGCUAGGGGAGCGAA